GAACACGAAGGGGAGCCGAAGCUCCCCUUGAAUGUGUUGUUGUAUGCUCUUUUUUUAUUAUUGAGGGGCGGUCUGUUGUUGUUUUUGUCAACCGUGGCCCUUUCUCGCCGUUUAGGUGACCCCCAUCCGGGGUCAAAGAGCAAACGUAUUUUUUUGAGCGCUGAUCUGCCUUAUCAGGUGAUCCAACCAGUUCGGGAGCUACCUUGAGGUAGUU
rnacentral:sRNA from 1 species